UCUAGCUAUUUUGUUCUGAGCGUGUAUUGAUUGAGUGAAAAGAUACCAAAGAAUGAGUGUUUAGUAUUAAGAGUGUAGCUGUCAAACGCGCACGUGGAAAAAAACAACACAAACAAAGAUCAACAAAACAACAUCAACGUACAAAAACAAUCAACGCAAGAAAACGUUUAGGCGGUAAGAUUCGCCAUCGCGCAUUAAAUCAACAGUGCCCGCAUUCGUUUGAUGUCCCAGAGCUUUAGUCAUCGAAUAAGGAGGAUAUUCCGGAGCUACUUGAUGAAAAGCUCAGCAGGCGACGGAUUGAGUGAGACGAGGCAACAACCGACCGAGCCAGCUCCUACAGGUGACAAUCCCAGCGGAAACAACGGUUGAAGUUAGCGUUGAGAAGGUGGAGAAAGAAAUUGAACACGAAAGAACAAUCGUAAGCAGCGUAAACCAGGUAGAAGGACCAUAAGCCGCUGCCCUUGUGUCCAUUUAUCCGACGGUAGAAAUUUGAAGUUGGAUAACGAAAACGACCCCACGCGGGUGAGUAGCAAAAACAUUGUGCCGGAAAAUUCAAAUGCUAAGCCAUGAUAAUUAAUGAAUAGGUCGUUUUUGGGAGCUGAGAAAUACGCUUUUCGGGACUCGAUUUUCGCCAUCUUGGUUUUGCGAGUCCCGUUUUUGCGUAAGUAAGCUGCGGACGUAGAGAGAGCCCGCCGGAUCGAGCCGGAAGUCGUCGGAAGUGCUCCGGGCAGCUGCGGUACGCCCGUCGAAGCAGUGAAGCCUGGCAGGGUUGCCAGUUCACCGGAUACGACUGCAAUACGAAAAUUAAAGCUGUGAUACACCUGUGCCGUCCAAGCAGCUGUGAUAUGAUUGUUGUGCGUUUGAUGUUAGAGUAGGAAAACGGGCCCGUGAGUAGUUAUUAUGUAAGCUAGCUUAAGUUUUUAAAAUGUCGUGUGUAAGUAAAUAAUUAUAAUUGCUACAGAUUUGGGUUUUGCGUGUUUGUGUUUUGGGUAAAAGUUAGCCGAGCAGCACACACUGAAAGUCAGUGGUGCUCAACUUGUUU